UACGGGGGGGGGCAAGCGUUGUUCGGAAUUACUGGGCGUAAAGGGCUCGUAGGCGGCCAACUAAGUCGGACGUGAAAUCCCUCGGCUUAACCGGGGAACUGCAUCCGAUACUGGAUGGCUUGAGUUCGGGAGAGGGAUGCGGAAUUCCAGGUGUAGCGGUGAAAUUCGUAGAUAUUCGCAAGAACACCAGUGGCGAAGGCGGCUCACUGGCCCGAUACUGACGCUGAGGCACGAAAGCGUGGGGAGCAAACAGG
rnacentral:rRNA from 1 species